rnacentral:lncRNA from 1 species
AAGAAAGCAUUUCUUCAAAAAAAAAAAAGGACAAUGAGAAAGUAAGAAUUUUAGUUAGCAAUGGCUGUUAGAAUUUUGAAAACGUUAGAGAAAAUGGUUUUGGUUAUGCCCCUGCUAAUUUUGAACUUUGACAGAAACCCCAAUCACCAUGAAGGAGAAGUGCAUGGAGAACCCGAUGAAAAUGAUGAAAGACCAUUAUUACUAUUAGAAUCACUGCCCAAAGUGACUAAAGACCUAGCAUCUCUAAGAGAAAUAGGACAAACCUGAGCUGGGAGCUUCUUCAUUGGACUCGAAGGAGAUGUCAUCGAAAGCUGAGCCUUAGAACCGUUGUUUUCUAAAUGUGAAGCGAUGUAUCCGGCCUCUCAAACGGAGUAUCUGGCAUGCUGCAGCCAACAUCAUUGUUAUAAAUAGGAUUCGAUAUGUAAACGAAAUUAUCCACACCAUGACCAGGAGUAGUACCUUUAGCUUUUUC